AUUAGAAAUAUGAUUAAAAGGGACCAAAAGCAAUUUAUUUUGACCGUUAUUUGUUAUGGAUUUACUUUUAACAUGACAAUUUGAUAAACUCGGGAGCUUCACUGUAGGUGUUUAAGUUUGUUUGUGUGCUAAAGUUAUUUUCGAAUCAGUUACAGUCCAAAUUAAUUAAAAAAGGAAGUGGGGAAAAGAUAACCUUAGAAAAUCUAGUAAAUAUAUGGAGUGUUUUACGAGAUAUCGGCGACGUGGAAGAAAAUGUUGACGGCAAUGCAGAAAUAUAGUUUCUUAUGUAUAUUUUUGUGAAAUAAAAAUUAAGUAAUGUUAGUUAAAA